GUCCAAUGUUGUUCUCGUUGGCAGUUUGUGGUGUGUCGGCCGCUUCGAACGUCUUGUUUUCUUUUCUGUUUUCAGUGAAGUGUGAAGUUGGAGAAAACUGUGUUAAAGUUGCUGCCUUCACUAAUUAACCUUGCUUCUUUCAGCACUGAAAUUUUUUUUUUCAAGAAACCUGGUUUGAGUGAUUAUUGGACGAUAUCAAGAUAACAUUUCAGAACUGCAGACUGCAUAUAGAGAUGAAAUUGCAAUGUGAAGCAAAUGUGGACAUUGCUGGCCUCCAUGACCAGACUAGCAGGAAAAGUGCCAACACCCCCGUUGAGGUUUGCCCCUAAAUUGGGAUUCAUUGUUUGGCGUGCCAGAUGUGUGAGAAACUAUGCGGGACCUUGAGGCUUCAGGUGGACUGCAGAUUAUCGAUCACACUUCACCUCCUACUAUCCACGGUAUUUCCCUAAGACACCGCUAUGACUAUGGCGGGUGUCAAGCCGACGACGGCUCACAACAACAGCCCACAACAACGGCCCACAACAACGGCGAUGGCAGAGGAGGCAACAAUCACAGCAAUGACACGAUCAUGGAGAAAUCUAAGAGCCUGGGCGAUGGCAUGACCGGCACCGCUAACAAUGCCAACAAAGCGUUGGCGAAGCUGUCAAAGACGUUUCGAAUACCAUUACUGGACUUGUCGAGGCUGCUCUAACAAGCCACGUACCUAGUCGGCGUCUCUGAUCCGUCAAGCGUAGCCGGAGGAUCUGGUUUGGUCGAUCAAACAGCCUUUGCCAGAGCUUCACAGGUAACGAUCCUUGAAUAUUUUCCAUGACAAUCAGUGCUUCCACUUCUUGUUUCUGGGAUACCCUGUGGUGUUGCCAGAAAACCUUAUUUAAAGUUUUUUUUGAGGGAAAACCCCCAAAAAACCCUGGUCAUUUCAAUGAAAAAAAAAGAAAAAGAAAAGAAAUUGAAAAAACAAAACGAAUUUCUUUAUUGCUUUUUGACUAGUGUUUGACUGAACAUUUCCGAAUAACAUUCUCACAUUGAAAAA